rnacentral:rRNA from 1 species
GACGAACACUGGCGGCGUGCUUAACACAUGCAAGUCGAGCGGUAAGGCCCUUUCGGGGGUACACGAGCGGCGAACGGGUGAGUAACACGUGGGUGACCUGCCCUCAGCUCUGGGAUAAGCCUGGGAAACCGGGUCUAAUACUGGAUAUGACUCCAUGACGCAUGUUGUGGGGCGGAAAGCCUUGUGCGGCUGAGGAUGGGCCCGCGGCCUAUCAGCUUGUUGGUGGGGUGANGGCCUACCAAGGCGACGACGGGUAGCCGGCCUGAGAGGGCGACCGGCCACACUGGGACUGAGACACGGCCCAGACUCCUACGGGAGGCAGCAGUGGGGAAUCUUGCGCAAUGGGCGAAAGCUUGACGCAGCGACGCCGCGUGA